GCCAAACUAUAUACUGCAGACAAGAGCGUAGAAUUCCACAAGAGUUUGGGAGGAGGGACUGAUGACAAUUUUUCGUGGUUGACUAAGUUUUUUAAAAAGCCACUUCCAAGGGUACAUUCAUUAACCAGUCAGCGAAUCCACUUGUUCCAGCGGGAGGUGGGAGGUGGGGGCAGGGGUGGAGCGUGGGGAGGAGCGACACUCACCGCUCCGGAAUCGGUGCCUUCCAAGUGUCGCCGUUGCGUCCCCCCCACCCCCCGCCUUCGGGUCUCCCUCGAGGCCCAACACCCCAACGCUCACCCCUUGGCCAUUCGCGCUCCCCGAACACCUCCGUCAUCGGACUCCUUGGGAUUCCUCGGGCCGCGUCCAGCCCAGGGGUUCCCGGGCCGCGUUCGCACUGCCCGCCCCCUCACCGCCUCCUCCCGCGUCUCCGCCCCCGCGGGCCGCUGGGCGCCCGGGGAGGCGAGGGUGCCGCCGCCGGAAAAUGAGCGCUGCCCGAAGGGUGGCCCGGAGCUGCAGGUAACGCGCUCCAGAGCUCGGGCCGGAGCGGGCUCCGCACACCGUCCCUUCCCGCGGAGACCCGUGGGCUGCGCCCAGGGACUGCGCCGGGCGCCGGGGCUGCAGGGACUCGGGGCGCGGGGGAGGCGCGGCCAGCCCUGCCCUGGGGGACGCGCGGCCAGCCCUGCCCCGGGGACGGUCGCGCUCCCCGCUGGUCUUGCAGCCACAUCCCGGCGGCUGUUCCCGGGAGCGGCGGGAGGCGGCCUCGGUGAGCCAGGUCGGCGCGGCAGAUGCCUGGGAAGAUGGAGAAGUUUCUGCAGAUCGCGCCUCACUCCCUGGCCAUCGUCCUGGGCCCGGCCGAGGCGCCGGCGGGGAAAGGCCCGGGGCAGCCCGGCCCGCGCCCCCGGCCCAGCCCUGCCAGCUCGCCCGGCACCACAUCGGCUACGAGAUCUUCGCCGACUUCAAAGCCGAGAACAUGCAGCACUUCUGGAACAAGAAAGUCACGGCCGCGGUGGCCGAGACCUUCUUCCUGGGCUGGAUCGACGAGCAGGUCCUGCUGAUCCAGGGCAAGGAGGAGCAUCUGGAGGCGCUGCGCGAAGGCUGGACGCGCCGGGCCCUGCGGCCGCCCUCGGGCUUCCACAUCCGCUGCCUGGUGAGUGCGGCCGCCGGGCGCCCGUCCCGUCCCUUCCCGCCGGGUUGCGUCCGUGCCGUGCGGCCGCGGGAGCCCUGCCCUGCCCCAGCCCGCCGCGGGCACAGCCGAGGCUCCCCUGGGUGCCCGCGUCCCUGCCGGGGGGAGGAGCCGGGGCCCUCUGCGAGCGUGGGAUUGGGGAACUUCCUGGCACCGAAAGGAGGCAGCCGUCCCAUUCCCCGUGCGCCGCCCCCGCCUGCCUGCGGGAGCCUCCCCGGUGGCGGGCGGUGCCUGGGGCCGCCAGGUGGGCGCCGCGGCUCGGCGGGCGGCUCUGA
rnacentral:lncRNA from 1 species